CCCCAAAAAAAGGAAGGAAAAUGAAGUUCCUUUAAAAACACAUAAAUAAAUAUUACAUUUUCUCCUGUUGAGAGGGGACUUUCACCAAGAUAAUUAUUGCAAUUACUGCCUUUAUCUCUCCCAAUGAGUAUGAUUUUUAUUCUGUGCUUUCACCUCCGGUUUGCCCGCUACGGGAGCGGCACGGAGGCGCGCGGUCGCUCCCGCAGCCCGGAGCAGCGCGGGCGCCGGACCAGAGCUGCCGGGAUGCAGCGGUGCGGCGGUGCAUGGUGUGUGCAAUGUGCACGGUGUGUGCAAUGUGCAUGGUGUGCAUGGUGUGUGCAAUGUGCACGGUGUGUGCAUGGUGUGCGCGUGUGCAUGGUGUGUGCAAUGUGCAUGGUGUGUGCAUGGUGUGUGCACGGUGUGCAGGUCGUGCAAACCCCCCCGCAGCCCCGACGGAGGCCCCCGAGGUGGCGGCAGCUCGGUGUUUCUCUGUGAUCUGGCAGCGACUGCCAGGAGGACGCGCGAGGGGCUCCGCAGCCCCAAGUGCCCCCGCGUCCCCGCGGGCUUUCGGGGGUCCCUCCGCGCUGCCGGCGAAGCCGCCCUGGGCUGCAGCAGGCCGGGGCGCCGGGUCGAGGGGGUUUUGCAGGCGCGGUCAGGUUGGCAGCCCGCUAGCAGCGAAGCGCCCGUCUGCCCGUGCCGGGCAGCAGCCCAGGGCGGCACCGGCAUCUCGGAGAGCUUCGGAGGGGCCCGGAGGUUCGGGGGGGGCAGGAGGUUCCCCGCGCGCUGCUCCUGGGCUCACGGCACCGCGGUUUUCUCCCUCUCUCUCCGCAGCCGCUUCUCCCCCCAACAUGGUGGACAGGCCCUGCCUGAAGCUGAAGGUUUACGUGCGGCCGACAAACGACUCCCUGUACGAGUCGCCGGAGCCGAUCUUCACCAGCAACAACUCGUGCUGCAGCCUCGGGGUGCCGCGCGCCGUGCUCGCCGUGGUGCCCGUCGUCUGGACGCUGCUGGGCUYGUAGCCCCCGGCGAGGGGCCGAGCCGCGCCGCCCGUCGCUCCGCUUUCCCGAUUUCCCGAGUCGCCUCCGGAGCGGCCCCGCGCAUCCCACGGGCUCGGCGCAGCCCCGCUCCGGCGUUGGAGCCCCGGGAGCCACCGCAAGCGCCGCGCCGCCGCCGGGGACGGAUCCGGGCCGGAGGGCGCCUUCCUCGCCGCCGCGGCUCGGCCGGCUGCGACCCUCCCCUAGGAUGUUGCUUUUUACAUUUCUAGACCAAAAAUAGAGCCCUUUUUAAAAGAUUUUUUUAUUUUUGUUUUGGUUUUGUUGGUUUUGCCCCACUCGGUGCUUCCCCGUGCCGGAGACUGAGCCGCGAGGCGGGUGCCGCUCCCGGGGAUGGCGGCGGUGCCGGGGGCUGAUGGUGCUCGGCCCUCGCUGGACCCCGGACGCGGCCGGAGCGAUGCCGGGCCGGGAGCUGCGGACAGC
rnacentral:lncRNA from 1 species